AGCAGCCGCGGUAAUUCCAGCUCCAAUAGCGUAUAUUAAAGUUGUUGCAGUUAAAAAGCUCGUAGUUGAAUUUCGGGAUCGAUACGUCGGUCGUGCUUCGGUACGUACUGGUGUCAUUGAUUUCUCCCUUCUGACGAACCAUGAUGUCAUUAACUUGGUGUCAUGGGAAAUCAGGACUGUUACUUUGAAAAAAUUAGAGUGUUUAAAGCAGGCUCACGCUUGAAUACAUUAGCAUGGAAUAAUGAAAUAGGACGUUCGAUCCUAUUUUGUUGGUUUCUAGGAUCAACGUAAUGAUUAAUAGGGAUAGUUGGGGGCAUUAGUAUUCAAUUGUCAGAGGUGAAAUUCUUGGAUUUAUUGAAGACUAACUACUGCGAAAGCAUUUGCCAAGGAUGUUUUCAUUAAUCAAGAACGAAAGUUAGGGGAUCGAAGACGAUCAGAUACCGUCGUAGUCUUAACCAUAAACUAUGCCGACUAGGGAUCGGAUGAUGUUAAUUAUUUAAUGACUCA
rnacentral:rRNA from 1 species